rnacentral:rRNA from 1 species
GCAGCAGGCACGCAAAUUACCCACUCCCGGCACGGGGAGGUAGUGACAAAAAAUAACGAUACGGGACUCAUCCGAGGCCCCGUAAUCGGAAUGAGAACACCCUAAAUCCUUUAACGAGGAUCUAUUGGAGGGCAAGUCUGGUGCCAGCAGCCGCGGUAAUUCCAGCUCCAAUAGCGUAUAUUAAAGUUGUUGCGGUUAAAAAGCUCGUAGUUGGUUCUGCGUGCCACGCUGUCGGUUCACCGCCUGCCGGUGCAACUGGCAUGCCGUGGCAUGUCCUGUCGGUGGCGGAUAGGCUUCGCGGCGUGCCCUGCGCGGUAACCACCGUGUAGGCCGCCGCGCCGCGUCGUCCUUGUACGCCGGCUCAAUCCUACCGCGGUGCUCUUUACCGAGUGUCGAGGUAGGCCGACACUGUUUACUUUGAACAAAUUAGAGUGCUUAAAGCAGGCUCAUAAAUUAGCCUGAAUAGUGGUGCAUGGAAUAAUGGAAAAGGACCUUGGUUCUAUUUUGUUGGUUUCCGGAAUCCAAGGUAAUGAUCAAUAAGGACAGGCGGGGGCAUUCGUAUUGCUUGGCAAAUGCUUUCGCGGUGAAAUUCUUGGAUCGWCKCAAGACGCACUAAAGCGAAAGCAUUUGCCAAGUAUGUCUUAAUUGAUCAAGAACGAAAGUUAGAGGCUCGAAGGCGAUCAGAUACCGSCCUAGUUCUAACCAUAAACGAUGCCAGCCAGCGAUCCGCCGACGUUCCUMCGAUGACUCGGCGGGGAGCUUUCCCCGGGAAACCAAAGCUUUUGGGUUCCGGGGGAAGUAUGGUUGCAAAGCUGAAACUUAAAGGAAUUGACGGAAGGGCACCACCAGGAGUGGAGCCUGCGGCUCAAUUUGACUCAACACGGGAGAGCGUACCAGGCCCGGACAUYGGAAGGAUUGACAGAUCGAUAGCUCUUUCUCGAUUCGGUGGG